GUUGUUUAGGAAAUGUUUAAAUGUCUUCUAAACAGUGAACUCUGAUGAUUUAACUGCUGGAUACAUGAAACUUGUCACUUCCGGUGCUCCAGAGGCUCUUUUCUUUGCCUCCACUGUGUCCAUGCGUGCCCUGGUCAUAGAAGGGCGGGGAGGGACUCUGGGGAAUCAUGCUCUGGUACCAGUUCCUGUUGUCCUCCAGUGUGUCCAGAAUGUCCUGGGCGUCAGGGUGGACCAGAUCGGCCCAGGUCUCCCAGAGAGGGUGCACAAUAUAGUCGAUGAAACCCACCUGGAAAGAAGUAAGGGCUGAUCUCCAUUCCCCUCUCCCUCUCUCUGUCUCCCUGAUGGAAGAACUCCUCCAUUAUCCGAUCAGUCCACUGACGAUACAGCUCCAGGGAUUUAGUGGGGUUACUCAGGUCAGCACAGUGCACCAUGUUACGCAGCACCUAGAAAUAAUAGAAAUUAAAUUUUGUAUAAUUCCC